UUCAGAUAAAUCAAAAAGAGUUCAGUUCAGACACUGAACAAAUCCAAAACAUAAAUCAUAAAAUCCAAGAGGAUUUAAGCAUUCCUCUGGACACUAGAUCUGGCCAACAGUUUUUAAACAGCAAUAUAGCUCAAUAUACACUAAAUAACACUCUGGACAGUAAUUCUAAAGAAAAUGCAGGUAACAGUUCAAAAGAAUUUUUUUUGAAUUAGGACAGGAGAAUACUCUGGACAAUAGAGCUAACUGUCAAAAUAAAAACCAAAAUAAAAGCCCAAAUAGAAACUCAAAAGAAAUACAUUUUGAGUUGCCAAUAGCAAGGAUGCUCUGGACACCCAAAUAAGUGAUCCAAA
rnacentral:lncRNA from 1 species